GACGAACGCUGGCGGCGUGCUUAACACAUGCAAGUCGAACGGAAAGGCCCUGCUUUUGUGGGGUGCUCGAGUGGCGAACGGGUGAGUAACACGUGAGUAACCUGCCCUUGACUUUGGGAUAACUUCAGGAAACUGGGGCUAAUACCGGAUAGGAGCUCCUGCUGCAUGGUGGGGGUUGGAAAGUUUCGGCGGUUGGGGAUGGACUCGCGGCUUAUCAGCUUGUUGGUGGGGUAGUGGCUUACCAAGGCUUUGACGGGUAGCCGGCCUGAGAGGGUGACCGGCCAAAUUGGGACGGGGAUCCGGCCCAGACCCCCAGGGGGGGCAGCAGUGGGGAAUAUUGCAAAAGGGGGGGAAGCCGGAUGCAGAAACGCCGGGGGGGGGAUGACGGCCUGCGGGUUGUAAACCGCUUUCGCCGGGGACGAAGGGGGAGUGACGGUAAGGGGUAAAGAAGCACCGGCUAACUACGU
rnacentral:rRNA from 1 species